GGGGAUGAAAUGGCUUCGACGGGGAAGGCUAGUCAGAGAUGGCGAGUCGGGGGGCUCCGGCCCCGUUAACAACAGAGCAAAAACCCAAAAGUGCCAACAAUUGGGCAGCAAUUCCCGUAGCCGCCUAAGGCGGUGAAAGGAAAAAGGAGCGCUUGCGAGCGCUCCCGCCCCCUCCGGCCUCGCGCUGGUGGGUCGGGGGUCGGGUGUCAUAAAUGCCAGCGUGCGGCUGCCGGACGCCGAUAGAGCGGCUCAAGACGCAUCGGCUGGGCCUGGGUGCAGCGCGGUCGGCCGCGACUCCCCAGGCAAGAAAAAAGCGCCGACUAUACUCGUAGAAAUCUCUGAACGAAUUCUUCGGACGCGGGUUCGACUCCCGCCAUCUCCACCA
rnacentral:tmRNA from 1 species